rnacentral:rRNA from 1 species
UACGUAGGGUGCGAGCGUUAAUCGGAAUUACUGGGCGUAAAGCGUGCGCAGGCGGCUUUGCAAGACAGAUGUGAAAUCCCCGGGCUCAACCUGGGAACUGCAUUUGUGACUGCAAGGCUGGAGCGCGGCAGAGGGGGAUGGAAUUCCGCGUGUAGCAGUGAAAUGCGUAGAUAUGCGGAGGAACACCGAUGGCGAAGGCAAUCCCCUGGGCCUGCACUGACGCUCAUGCGCGAAAGCGUGGGGAGCAAACAGG